CCUACGGGUGGCUACAGUAGGGAAUAUUGCGCAAUGGGGGAAACCCUGACGCAGCAACGCCGCGUGAAGGAUGAAGGUUUUCGGUUUGUAAACUUCUGUUGUUAAAGAAGAAAAUCACGUGAUCGAACGAACAACCACCUGCUAACUCCGUGCCAGCAGCCGCGGUAAUACGGAGGGGACAAGCGUUACUCGGAAUUACUGGGCGUAAAGAGCGCGGAGGCGGGAUAGAAAGUCAGAUGUGAAAGCCUAAGGCUUAACCAUAGAAAUGCAUUUGAAACUGUUAUUCUGUAGGAUGGGAGAGGUAGGGGGAAUUCAUGGUGUAGGGGGAAAAGCGGUAGAGAUAAAGAGAAAAACAGAG
rnacentral:rRNA from 1 species